rnacentral:rRNA from 1 species
UAAGGUCUAGCCUGCCCAAUGAGGAUUUAAAUGGCCGCAGUAUUUUGACUGUGCAAAGGUAGCAUAAUUAUUAGUUUUUUAAUUAAAAGCUUGUAUGAAAGGUUGGACGAGAUAAAAGCUGUCUUUACUUGAAUAAUAGUAGAAUUUAACUUUUAAGUUAAAAGGCUUAAAUAUCUAUAAAAGACGAGAAGACCCUAUAGAUCUUUAUUUAAUUAUUAUUUUAAUAAUUUAGGAUUAUUUUAGUUUAAAGUUUUGAUUAAAUUUUAUUGGGGUAAUAUAAAGAUUAAAUUAAUUCUUUUUAUUUUUUACAUUGAUUUAUGAGUAUAUGAUCCAUUAUUAAUGAUUAUAAGAUUAAGUUACCUUAGGGAUAACAGCGUAAUUUUUUUGGAGAGCUCAUAUCGAUAAAAAAGUUUGCGACCUCGAUGUUGGAUUAAAAAUUAGCCCAGGUGCAGAAGUUUGGGAUUCUGGUCUGUUCGACCAUUAAAUUUUUACAUGAUCUGAGUUCAGACCGGCGUGAGCCAGGUCGGUUUCUAUCUUUAUUUAAAUAAAAUAUUUUAGUACGAAAGGACCAGAUAUUUAAUAUAUUUAUAUUUAUUUUUUGAAUAAUAUUGUUACUUUGGCAGAUUAGUGCAAUGAAUUUAGAAUUCAUGAAUGUAAUUAUAUUACAAGUAAUACUUGUAUCUAGGGGAUAUACUAUUAAUAGUUUUAUGUUUAUUGAUUUUAGUUAUUUGUGUAUUAGUUGGGGUAGCUUUUUUGACUUUGUUGGAGCGUAGGGUUUUGGGCUAUAUUCAGAUUCGUAAGGGCCCUAACAAAGUUGGGUUUUU